rnacentral:rRNA from 1 species
CAGUCGCCGCGGUAAUACGAAGGGGGCUAGCGUUGCUCGGAAUGACUGGGCGUAAAGGGCGCGUAGGCGGUGGCCAAAGUCAGGCGUGAAAUUCCUGGGCUCAACCUGGGGGCUGCGCUUGAUACUUGGUUGCUUGAGUGGGGAAGAGGGUCGUGGAAUUCCCAGUGUAGAGGUGAAAUUCGUAGAUAUUGGGAAGAACACCGGUGGCGAAGGCGGCGACCUGGUCCUUGACUGACGCUGAGGCGCGAAAGCGUGGGGAGCAAACAGGAUUAGAUACCCGCGUAGUCCCUGUCUCUUAUAC